AAUUUUGAUAUUUUGGUUUUUAGGGUUUGAUUUUUUUCAUAAUCGAACCAACUGAUUGCACACCCUAAUGAUUAAGGUUGCACCAUAUGUGCUUUGCUAGUUGAGUUCAUGUUCAAGGAUUGAUUGGAAAGGAGAGAUGGAUUGGCAUUUUGGGCUGAUAGCAUUUUCAAGAAUGUUCAAAGUUGAUGAGAAAUCAAAAGCUUUCACUUUAACCGAAAGAGU
rnacentral:misc_RNA from 1 species